CAAUAGUAGAUCCCAAGUCACAGAGUGGUUGUAAGGAUUAAAUAAGUUAAUAUUUAAAGGAUUGAGUUAAUAUUUAAAACAGUGUCUGUCACAUAAUGAGAGAUACGUAAGUGGAAUGUUUAAAAAGUCAUAUAAUCAAAUCUCCACGCCUGGACACUGGUUGUUUCUUAAUUGACAAAGUCUUUGGUGGGCUCUGUGCGUACCCUCCCAUCAUUCCAGCAUGAGAAGGCAGAAGAAAGGCAUCCGGACAACUUUCUCCUGCAGCAAAAGGUAAGGCACCUUGGCUUCAUUCUGAUUUCUAACAAUGUGCACACCCAGACCAAGGCCCAGCCAGAAGGAGAAGCUGUGUCCAGUGUGUGGACCAGAAAAUGGGAAUCCCUCCAUCCAAGUCCCUCAGACCCUCGUCAUCUCCCUGCCUGUAUAUCGCCAAAUGCUGCACACAGCUGUCCCCCAUGGAUACCCUGCACCAAGCCAGGGUUCCAGAACCUAAGGAAUAGCUCUCUGAGAACCUCCCAUGGGGCUCCUGGGAUGUCUGCUGGCUGUGGUGGCUCAACAGUGUGCAUCCCACAGAAGACGUCAGAGAAGGGGAGGAGGAGCAGAGAAGCCGGCAGGUGGCAGGAAGAAGGAAGGAUCAUGGCGAGAGGAAACCAAACAUACCAGGAAAAAAAGUAGAAAAGCCUAAGUAAGUACAAGAAAACUUUUUUUGUCUCUCUAUUUUUGGCCAAGUGAAAAAAUAAAAAAUAAAAACCAAGAGACUCAGACAGAGCCCGUGAAGGGAAGGAACCAACUGACAAACUGCAGAACUGUGAAAUGCAUGCUAAUUACCUCACCCUUCCUCCUGCGCUGGGCUGCAACCAGAGCCCACAAGCCAUUUGUACGUUGGCCUCAUAAUGAUUUCAUUUUACAGAUUUCCUUCCACUUUUUUUUUCUUUUUCCUUUUUCUUACAAAGGCCAUCACAAUUCUAUUCUGUUUUGGGAAGUAGGAACAGGAUCUAUCUUUAGGAAAUUUAAAUGCCAAAGAGCUCAGAUAAGCAUAAUUGAGAAGCAAAGCCUAGUUGGUGUGAUCGAGACAAAUAUUAAAUCACAAAUAUUUGAAAUUCUUCCCCUUUGUGCCCUGAGGAGAGAAGUGCCUUUGUUUGCUGAACUGGCUCCUAGAACUACAGAACUACGUGGCCUUUGUCCUGCUGUGGAGGACACUGGGCAGGGAGAGACACCAAAGGAAGGCAAAAUAUUAGUCAAGUGCCUACCAUGUAUCAGGCCUUCUGCUAGAAGCUAGGAGUGAACCCUCAGGAAACUAAUGAUCAUUUUCUUUCUUUCUUUCUUCUUCUUUUUUUUUUUUACUUAAUAAAGUUGUGGUAAAACACACAAAAUGUACCUUGUUAACCAUUUUUAAGCGUACAGUUCAAAAGUGUUAAGAAUAAUUCCCAUGGUUGUGACAUCUCCAGAAAUCUCACAUCUUGUAAAAUUGAAACUGAACAUGCAUCCAACACAGUAAACCGCUCCCAUUUCCCUUUCCACCCCCAGAUCUCUACUUUCUGUUUCUAUGGAUUUAAUUACUUGAGCUCCCUCAUAGAAGUGGAGGCAGCCAGUUGUUUGUCUUUCUGUAACUGGCUUAUUUCACUCAGCAUCAUAUCCUCAAGGUUCGUCCACGUUGUAGCCUGUAUCAAGAAUUUCUCUUUCUUUCAAAGCUGAGCAGUAUUACAUCCUAUGUGUAAUAGACUUGGCCUGUCCAUUCCUGACCGUGGAUACUUGAGUUGCUUCCACCUCUUGGCUAUUGUAAAUGAGGCUGCUAUGAGAACUGUCUUAGUCAGCUUUUUUUUGCUGCUGUGACUAAAAGACCCCACCAGAACAAUCGUAGAGGAGGGAAAGUUUAUUUGGGGGCUCACGGUUUCAGAGGCCUCAGUUCAUAGACAGCUGGCUCCAUUCCUCAGGGCUCAGGGUGAGGCUGAACAUCAUGGCGGAAGGGUGUGGCAGAGGGAAGCAGCUCACGUGAUGAUCAGAAAGCAGAGAGAGACUCCACUCACCGGAUACAAAAUAUAUAUCCCAUAGCCAUGUUCCCAAUGAACCACUUCCUCCAGCCACCUGCCUCCAGUUACCACUCAGUUAAUCCCAUCAGGGAUCAAUUCACCGAUUGGGUUAAAAUCAUUUCUCCUCUAAACCUUUUGGUAUUGUCCCACACAUGAUCUUUUGAGGGACACCUUGCAUCCAAACUACAAUAAACACAACACUCUUUAAAGAAGCUUAUUCCAUCAUAUUUGUUUACCCAUCCUUUGGCCCAACUGAAGUUUUAGCUGCACAGGGACCUGUUAUUUAUCCUGGUAUGCCCACUUCCCGUACAGUGUGGGCACAUAGUAGGAACUCAAAAAUAUUUGUUCAACAAAAUAUUUUUACACUUCUUAGUCUCCAGUAUUGCAGCUGGCUGCUUUACAUAUUUUAAUAAAUAAGUUUUGCAAUUUUAAUGAAUGUUAUUUUGAUUAUAUUUACAUAGUAAGCUAGUUUAUAUAAGGAGAUAAGUAUUUAAAAAAAUCCAAAUCUCAAUCAAAAUCCACUCUAGAUGAAAUGCCAUUGACAAUUCCUUCCCACUCACCUUGCUUAAAACCAACUCUUAUUCCUGUCUUUCUUCCCCUUUCUUUCCCUCAAGUCAUGGCACUGUUAGAUCCUGAGGGCAUUCAUUAGGGGUCCCUCAGACAAUGGAAAGCCAGGCAUGGCUUUGGAGUUUGGUUUACUCAGCUCAAAAUCUUUCCCUGGGGUUAUUUUGGAUGAGGCACAGGAUCAACAACACCCAGCUCCAUCUCUGGAGGAACUCACAGAAUUAUGGCUCUCUCUGCUUAUUCCUGAUUACGACUAAGUAAGAGACAUUGGUUUUCUCAGGUACAGAAAAUAGUGUUUAUUUCCAUUCCC
rnacentral:lncRNA from 1 species